rnacentral:rRNA from 1 species
GACGAACGCUGGCGGCGUGCUUAACACAUGCAAGUCGAACGAAGAGCGAUGGAAGCUUGCUUCUAUCAAUCUUAGUGGCGAACGGGUGAGUAACGCGUAAUCAACCUGCCCUUCAGAGGGGGACAACAGUUGGAAACGACUGCUAAUACCGCAUACGAUCCAAUCUCGGCAUCGGGACUGGAUGAAAGGUGGCCUCUAUUUAUAAGCUAUCACUGAAGGCGGGGAUUGCGUCUGAUUAGCUAGUUGGAGGGGUAACGGCCCACCAAGGCGAUGAUCAGUAGCCCGUCUGAGAGGAUGAACGGCCACACUGGGACGGAGACACGGCCCAGACGCCUACGGGAGGCAGCAGUGGGGAAUCUUCCGCAAUGGACGAAAGUCUGACGGAGCAACGCCGCGUGAGUGAUGACGGCCUUCGGGUUGGAAAGCUCGGUUUAUCGGGACGAAUGGUCCUUGUGCGAAUAGGGCGAGGAUUUGACGGUACCGGAAUAGAAAGCCACGGCUAACUACGUG